GCAUGGGUUUGGAUUUAUGGCAGGCCCAUCCCCCUGGGCCUCUCAUAGUGCCCCAUGCCAGAGCAAAUUGUAGCCCUGAACCAUUGCCUGGCCUCUGUGCCGGUAGGCUGCAGGCACUGAAGCGGGUUACACAUUG
ensembl:snoRNA